GCGCCUAUAGCUCAGAGGAUAGAGCGUCGGCCUCCGGAGCCGAAAGCGCAGGUUCGAUUCCUGCUAGGCGCGCCA
rnacentral:tRNA from 1 species